rnacentral:rRNA from 1 species
GCUCAGAACUCAAAGGAAUUGACGGGGCCCGCACAAGCGGAGGAGCAUGUGGUUUAAUUCGAUGAUACGCGAGGAACCUUACCUGGGCUCGAACGUAAGAUGACUGUAGGUGAAAGCUUACAUCUCUUCGGAGCAUUUUACGAGGUGCUGCAUGGUUGUCGUCAGCUCGUGCCGUGAGGUGUCGGGUUAAGUCCCAUAACGAGCGCAACCCCUAUCAUUAGUUGCCAUCAGGUCAAGCUGGGGACUCUAAUGAAACUGCCUACGCAAGUAGUGAGGAAGGUGGGGAUGACGUCAAAUCAGCACGGCCCUUACGUCCAGGGCUACACACGUGCUACAAUGGCCGGUACAAAGGGCAGCUACCUGGUGACAGGAUGCUAAUCUCAAAAGCCGGUCUCAGUUCGGAUCGGAGUCUGCAACCCGACUCCGUGAAGCUGGAAUCGCUAGUAACCGCAGAUCAGCUACGUUGCGGUGAAUACGUUCCCGGGCCUU